GGUCAAGAAGAAUAUCAGGAAAUUCUCUUGAUCAUCAUCAUCUUGAGGAUAUUCACAUACCCUCAGUAAACUGGUGUGCAGAGACUGAGACUUGAGGACCAGAUGCCAGCCCAUCAGGUCAGAACCCCCAGAGAUGUAGACGUGGCAGGUGCUCCAUGAGGGAAAGACAGAAUGGAGCAUGCCUGGUACUCCUUUCACUGGCAUAUGGGACAGCAGAGCAGCAACUCCCUGGGCAAGGAAUACGCGGACGGUGAGACAGAGGCCUUCAAGGAAUCGCGCUUCCCUUGAGAGCUAAAGAUGGAUUUUACAUAUUUGCCUUAUAAAGACAAUUCUCCUUUCUACAAAAACAGUUACUUUGAUUUAAAGGCAUUGAGAAUAGAAACAAUAACCAACUGCGGACAAGAGAAGUGAUGUCUAGUACUCCCAGAUGAAUUGACAGGUGCUCAGUUGUUUACUUGAGUCCUCCUUCAGUAUGAAGUGACAAGAAUCAUCUAUGAACAGCACGCUUGGAACAAGUAUAGGUAACAAUAUUUCAAAGAAGUUGAGAAAACUAAUUUAGAACAAACUGAUGUAGAAUUUGUUAAGAUGUGUUUCAAUUGAUGCUGGAAAACUGUAGAGAGUGCAAAAAGGCUAAUUUGAAAAAUUUUAAAAGCUUGUAAAAAUACAAGGUGUUUUAUGACCAUAUGCAUUCGUUUUGCUACUCAUUGUCUGCUAUUUUGCCUAAAAUGUUUUGCUACCAUGUGUUAGCAUUGUCACUGGUAAACUUCAUUCACUCUAGAAGAUAUUUCAUAGAUACUGUUUGUUUGUUAGUCUGUUUAUUCAUUUGUUUCUGGUCAGAUUUUGAAGCUGAAUAUCCUGAACUUAUCCUACUAUACAGCAGUUGGACAGGUCAAGAUCAAUAAAACUUCUUUGAGUUUUUUGAGCUGAAGAAUGAGACCAAAAUAUUUUUCUUUGUAAAAAAUAACUUGCAGUUGGCCUCUAUUAGCAGCUACUAAAUGUCUUUAAAAAUUAACUUUAGCUAUGAAUUUGAUAAUGUUUCUAAUAAAUUCAACCUGUAAUUUCAAGGCAAAAUAGUGCUUAUAAAAGUUAUACUGUAAUAAAUCAUUUAGACAGUGUUAUAUGAAUCAUUGGUAUAAUGUAAACUUAUUUUAUUCAUUUCUGUGCUAUCAAAAGUUAAAAUAAGUUUUCUCUUCCCACAAAUAUUUUGAGCAUAUGUGAUUUGCAAGACCAAGCUACAGCUUUAAAAGCAUUUUUUCUCAUCUUAAUGUAAAGACAAAGGAAAUGUCUAUAUUUCAUAAAUCAUUUAACUUUACAAUUGAAACACUGUCAUCUCAUUUUUAAAUUGGAAAUAAUUACAAUACAUAGUAAAAAUAACAAGAAAAUAUAGAAUUUUAUCAAUGCCAUCUAUGGGAUAAAUAUCUGCAAUUAAAAUCAUAUGUUAGUACUUUGAUAACAGUGUGUGGCACUUCUGUAUCUGAAAAAAAAUUUUUUCAAAGAUGAACUCUGUAAAAUCUCAUUUACAUCAGCACCAACAGAUAAACAUUUAUCAUAAUUUGUAAUGGGGAACAUUGUUUUUAAACUCUGAGUAAAUGAAAUCUUAUUAAAAUAAUUCCCUAAUUACACUCAAUUAUAAUGUGUUCAAUUUCCUCUAUAAAAUUACCAAAAAAAAUCU